rnacentral:rRNA from 1 species
GGCGGCAGGCCUAACACAUGCAAGUCGAGCGGUAGCACAGGGAGCUUGCUCUCGGGUGACGAGCGGCGGACGGGUGAGUAAUGUCUGGGAAACUGCCUGAUGGAGGGGGAUAACUACUGGAAACGGUAGCUAAUACCGCAUAACGUCGCAAGACCAAAGUGGGGGACCUUCGGGCCUCAUGCCAUCAGAUGUGCCCAGAUGGGAUUAGCUAGUAGGUGGGGUAACGGCUCACCUAGGCGACGAUCCCUAGCUGGUCUGAGAGGAUGACCAGCCACACUGGAACUGAGACACGGUCCAGACUCCUACGGGAGGCAGCAGUGGGGAAUAUUGCACAAUGGGCGCAAGCCUGAUGCAGCCAUGCCGCGUGUGUGAAGAAGGCCUUCGGGUUGUAAAGCACUUUCAGCGGGGAGGAAGGCGUUAAGGUUAAUAACCUUGGCGAUUGACGUUACCCGCAGAAGAAGCACCGGCUAACUCCGUGCCAGCAGCCGCGGUAAUACGGAGGGUGCAAGCGUUAAUCGGAAUUACUGGGCGUAAAGCGCACGCAGGCGGUCUGUCAAGUCGGAUGUGAAAUCCCCGGGCUCAACCUGGGAACUGCAUUCGAAACUGGCAGGCUAGAGUCUUGUAGAGGGGGGUAGAAUUCCAGGUGUAGCGGUGAAAUGCGUAGAGAUCUGGAGGAAUACCGGUGGCGAAGGCGGCCCCCUGGACAAAGACUGACGCUCAGGUGCGAAAGCGUGGGGAGCAAACAGGAUUAGAUACCCUGGUAGUCCACGCCGUAAACGAUGUCGAUUUGGAGGUUGUGCCCUUGAGGCGUGGCUUCCGGAGCUAACGCGUUAAAUCGACCGCCUGGGGAGUACGGCCGCAAGGUUAAAACUCAAAUGAAUUGACGGGGGCCCGCACAAGCGGUGGAGCAUGUGGUUUAAUUCGAUGCAACGCGAAGAACCUUACCUGGUCUUGACAUCCACAGAACUUUCCAGAGGUGGAUUGGUGCCUUCGGGAACUGUGAGACAGGUGCUGCAUGGCUGUCGUCAGCUCGUGUUGUGAAAUGUUGGGUUAAGUCCCGCAACGAGCGCAACCCUUAUCCUUUGUUGCCAGCGGUCCGGCCGGGAACUCAAAGGAGACUGCCAGUGAUAAACUGGAGGAAGGUGGGGAUGACGUCAAGUCAUCAUGGCCCUUACGACCAGGGCUACACACGUGCUACAAUGGCAUAUACAAAGAGAAGCGACCUCGCGAGAGCAAGCGGACCUCAUAAAGUAUGUCGUAGUCCGGAUUGGAGUCUGCAACUCGACUCCAUGAAGUCGGAAUCGCUAGUAAUCGUAGAUCAGAAUGCUACGGUGAAUACGUUCCCGGGCCUUGUACACACCGCCCGUCACACCAUGGGAGUGGGUUGCAAAAGAAGUAGGUAGCUUAACCUUCGGGAGGGCGCUUACCACUUUGUGAUUCAUGACUGGGGUG